CAGGGAGACAACAAAAUGUUUAAUAUUAUUAUUUUGUCACCUUAGGUCGAUCGGUAUUUCACGUUCUUAAUUUAUUAAGAAUUUCAUUUCCUAAGUUUUUCUAGGUCACACCCAUUAUUUUCCUGGGCCAUUAGCUCAGGUGGUUAGAGCGCACCCCUGAUAAGGGUGAGGUCCCUGGUUCAAGUCCAGGAUGGCCCAUAUCUCUAUGUUGGGGGUAUAGCUCAGUUGGUAGAGCGCCUGCUUUGCAAGCAGGAUGUCAGCGGUUCGAGUCCGCUUACCUCCACUGACUACCACCUCUACCAUAAUUUGUAGAAAGGAAUGUUUUGAGUUGUGAUCAAAUUCUGAACGAAUCUAGCUUCCUAAUGAAAUCAUUAAGAUGCUGGACUCAUUGAAUUAAUUUCAUUGUUUUCAGAGAACCUUGACAACUGCAUAGAUUAUUUUUAAAGACAAUAAGCAUCUUUAAUGAUGCAGGUUUAUUAUUUGUGCUAAUGCAUUAAUAACAAUUCUAUUAAGCAGAUGCUUCAAUUUUGAAGUUAUU
rnacentral:tRNA from 1 species